ACAUGGAAGAUUUGGCCUCAGGGAAUAAAGCUCAGGAAAAAAAAAAAGAAAAAAAGUUUGAAAAAAUCCAACUACAUUUUUUAAACUUAAAAAGUGCUCUAAUUUCACCUGGUUGGUGAUUGCAGAGAGAAGCUAAUUAAAGCCAAUGGAGAAUUUUAAAAGUGAAGAGAAAAAACAAAUUAGGGCAGCAGGAGGAAAAUAAGUUUUCUAAUUAUAUAUAAUGAGGAUACUUUUUGCAUAGUGCAAGAAGGAAAUGUAUACCUUUUCUAUUAUAUCUAGACUAUGAUGAUUUCUGCUGUGUGGCCCAGGAUGCUACCCAUAUAGCUGCAUGUACCUACCACGAUCAAGAGUCACAGAUGAAAGAUGUUUGCUACAGAUUGCCCAAGAUUUCUGAGGAAGGAGUAAAGAGAUAAAAGAGUCAGUCCUUAUUCUAAAGAAAGAAGCCAGCCUAAACUUGGAAAUUCAAAGUUAAAGAUGACAUUCUGCAUUCAAUUCAUCCUCUGGUGCCUUGUUAUUGAAGAACAUAUAAUGCUAACAUCACACGCAGAUCUGAGGCUCCACCAUUACCUAAGCACAACAGGCUCAAGCCACAACACUCUGUUCAGUCUGGCCAGUCUUCUUCUUCUCAUGUUUGGGCAUGUGGGGACAGACCGCUCCUGCGCCAUUAAGAUUUCCUUCUUCAAGAGUGCCCAGCCUUCCUGGACUCGUCUGCCCUUCAGAACCACCUCCCAAGGGACUCUACCAUCCAGUGUCCUGAACAGCUCAAAGUCAGCCUUCUGGAAGUCCAAGACUGCGGUUUUAUUUAUCCCCCUCCUGACUUCAGCAAGAAUAGAGAACUCUACCAUUUUGUGGUCACUCUGCCCAAGAUUGGAAAGCUGGGGAACAAGACCUUUUUUUUUUUUCAGCUUUUAUUUUUAUUUUUUUUAUCCAUGCUUUCUUAAACUAGACAUACAAAUGUUGAAGGAAACAAAGUGUGAUAGUUUCAGUAAACUUCAGUUGAGUCAAGAUUUUCAAGAAAUGUGUAUUGCAAAAGCCAGACUUAGAGACACUAUCAUUAAUUUGGAUACUUUUAUUUUACUCCUAACAAGGACACCAAUCUCUUUCAAGAAUCCUAAUUGUUCCUACUCAGAAGCCAUUAAAAAUUAUAUAUUGUAUUAUACUGAGAGUUCAUUUAAUUUAAAUGUUAGAAUUUUGUAAACAUUGGUAUUAUAUUAUGUUCCAUUCAUUCGUUUGAUUCUCUGGUACAUUAGACGGGGAAUAUAUACAUGCAUUGCAUUUUGGAGAUUUUAUUUUAAGGGUUGCUUUAAUGAAUUCUUAAUUACAUUAUUCAAACGAUCCAUUAUUCAGCAUUCAUCUCACUUCUAAAUGAAAGUCUUCACCUGACAUGUGAAUGAAAUGAGUCUAAAUGCUUUCUAUGCCACCUAGGGAUUCGUAAUAAACUUCUUGCUGAAUGGCAGCAGUGGGUUUUCUUUCUGUUUUAAAUUUUUGUGGAUUGUUUGUAGAGAAGGACAGGUACAAAACACUCAGCUGUCCUAAGUGUCAGCGAGCCCACUAGGUGCACUCAGUCUCACCUGAUAUGAUACAGCCACAGUGCUUGAAACAGGUGAAUGAGAGAAGCAUUAAAGAGAAAAACAUUCAUAAUAUUUCAAAGGUUUUCAAAUAUAUUGUAGUUACCAAUUUUCUUAUGGGUGGAAAAAGCUUAUAGCCCCUUGUUAAAGAUUUUCCUUUUUUUUAUGGUUCACCGUGAAAAAAGUAGUGAACAUUAUAAAAAGAUUUGAGAUCUGUUUUUCAAAAAGGAUAACGAUACUUUUUCCCAUUCCCCAUUAAUUUCAGUAGAACUAAUAUCUGGCAUUAAAUUUGGAAAAGAGAUUAAGAGCUCAGAAUACUACACUUCAUUCUAGCAACCAUAACUAGUGAGUAACUUGAAAUGAGUAUGUGCCUGGCUGACCAGGAUUGUACUGUCAUUACACACACUGGAAAACAAUUCUGCCAUGUCAAUUUCUGUCCCAGUCAACAAGUGGAUUGGACAUGAAGACUGCUUGCUCCAAACUAAGUCUAUAUAACAAAGCAUUGCUCAUCUUCUAAGAGGACUGAGGUACUUUAAGUGAAUGAAGCUAUAGUUAUAUUUAAAAAGAUGAGCACACCUUCCUUUAAGAACAUGGUUAUUGGUUUCAGUGGAGUUUUGCCUACAUAAGAACUGCAGGAUUCUCAUUAUAGAAAUUACAUUAAAAAAAUCCUACUGCAGUUAUGGAAGAAAAUUUAAAACAUGCCAUUAAUACGAAGAAACAUGCAUAUUUUAUGCCUGUAAUUUAUUAUUUGCCUACCUAUUCAUUAUAAAUAUAAAAAUAUUUAUUAUGGGAAAGAACAGUAUUUAAAGCACUGAAGUAUCACCGACUAGUUACCAAUGUAUAAUCUCAGUUCCUUGUGAAAGGACUGAAAUAUCCAUCUCCCAUAGAUUAAGAUUGUCCUUUUAAUUUGCAUUAACAAUAUGACAAACUUUCUCAUUUCACAUUGACAUGCUAUAGAUCAAUUUUUAUAUAAAUUCUCUUCGUAACUAUCUAUGUUUUAUAGAAACAUUUUUUCAAAAGAAUGCAUAAUAAAAGACUUUUGAGUGCUUUUACAGUCCUUAGAUCAUUUUUUUAAAAUACGUUUCUUAAACUACAUUUUGCUGCUUUUCAUACAUAUAGAUAGAGCUUUGCUAGUAUCAAGGCAUUGGUGGAUAUAUCAUGACCUUUCCCCCUACCUGAUUAUGAAGACGACUGUGAAAUUUAAUAUGCUGUUUUAAUUCCAGACCAUUAUUUAGGGCUCAGUACUGGAAGGUGCUGAGCAUGUCUCGUGAAGUGCCCAGCAUUACCAAUUCAGACUGGAUGUCUUGCUUAGCACUGUGCAGGACUGUGUUAAUAAUACAAAACCCAUGGCACUUGUGUGAUGCAGUCAGGCACUGGUUAACAAAGCAGCCACAGUAUCAAGCAGGCUCAACCACCUACUGAUAAAAAAGAAACAUUUUAGAAUGCCUAAGAAAUCUUAGAUGAAAAACCACAUUAUCCACUCUUCUGAUGGGCAAAAUGUAUGAGUGCUGCUCACAGGGACUCCCAUUCACCCAGUCUAAAUAUCCCCUCUCUAGGAGUGAUUGAAGUGCACCCUUGAGUAGUCAUACCACAUUGUGCAUCCUAUGCAGAAGAGAUCCUUCAGCACAGACCAACAACUGACCCAGCCUUUGUAGCUGAUUUCUCAAUACAUAAAGUGCUGUUUUUGUCCUGGUUAAACUGAAAAAUACAUAAAUAACCAUGUAAAAAAUAAUAAAGAAAUGAAACAAAUGCAUCCAGUAGCACUUAUGAUGCGUUAAGGUAUGCGUAUUAAGGCACCACUUCCAGAUUAGUCCACCCAAUCAAUUUUAUUUCUGUUGUUUUUGUUGUUCUCUGCCCCUACCCCAUUUACCCAACUAGCAAUUUAGUUUUGUACGUUUAUUCUUGUGCUCAUCAUUAAGGAAAAUAAAUCUCAAAUUCCCUUUAAAGGUUCUGGAAGGAGACAUAUCUAAUUAUCAAAAUAUUUCAAACAUAAGGAAUUUCUGCAUUGUAAAAUGCAUCCCCCAAAAGGCAGGCCCCAAGUAACAUACUGUAAGCUUCAAUGCAUAACAGGUAACGCUGGAAAAUGGAAAGGUGUCAGUCGUGCAGAGCAUCAGAUCAGGCAAAAAUCUCCAUAAUCUCACUGACCUGUAUCCUCUGCCAGUUCAAUGGAAAUCAUCCAGGGCUACUCUCUACCCAUUGUAGUUAGGCUUCAGAACAGUUUCUCAGAGUCUUUAUUGUAUUUAUUUCAGCAAUGUUUUGGUAAACUAUGGAAAACUUGAGAGCAAUGAAAGAUUAAGGGAAAAUAAUAAUAAUAAUAAAAAAAAUCCAUAAGAUUUUUUAAUAUUCCCAUUUUUAAAAGCAUAGUUUCCAUUUUUCGGAAGUGUUUUUCCACUUAUAAUGUACAUUAGAAUAUAUUAAGAUAAUUGCUUAUGUUGAUAAGGAAGCAGGAUGCAGUUUUUUCUAAAACAGUCCAAGAGGAAAUGUUUCCUGUAUUUCAGUCAUUUCUAAAAGUCAUUGUAGCAGAUUUGACUCGUUUCCCACCCCUUCCACUUUCCAUUCGAGAUAUUAAGUCAAUUUGUAUUAUAUCUUGCUGGUCAGAUAGAAGAUAUGGGUGGUCCUUCUAUCAAUCAAAAUUGUAAUUACCUUUCCCGAUUGUCUCUGAUAUUUUAUUCAAAAAGUAUUAUGACUCCUAGGCAUUACAUUAAUACGAUGAUGGUUAUUUUUAUUGUUAAUAAUAAUAUUAAUGGAAUUUUUGAUACAUUAUAUGCAAUUCUAUAUGGCCUUUUCUUCACUUCUUCAUUCCCUCUUGUCUUUUUUGGAGUGUUUUUGUUUUGUUUUGUUUUGUUUUUAACUAUUUUAGGGGCAGUUCCAUAGGCUAGUGUUAAUGCUAAUGUUAAUAUAGGCUAUGUAAAACUCACAAUAAAUUGUCAGCCAUUCUUUGAGAAUUCACAGCACAUGUGUUACCCUGACUUCUUUGCAGAAGAUUUGAGGUACAAUCAUGUAAUGCAGAACUAAUUCUUUAUUAACCGGGCUCUCUGACUGAACUAAUAAUGGUAAACGUGAGCAAAAAGAACUUAAGAAGAGCCACUUGAUAUGAUAAAGGAUAGUUCUUUUACUAUUAUGAUGUAUAAUUUCCUGUCUUCCCCUGUAAAAAGACAAAAUUUAUAGCCAUUUCCUGCAUGUACCUUUUUCAUUUUAGUUUGACAAUCCUCAGCUUUUUUACUUCAGCGGUACCUUUGUCACUGGAACUGAGCAUUUGAAACUUCUUUCUAAUUUGAUAAAAUAUACAUAUGGCAUUAGCAUGCUAGAGGUAAAGGGUACUAACAUCAAAGUCUGCACAGCUCACAUUAGAAUGAUCUUAAAUGGGCAUUAUAUAUUUAUUUAGUGGGGAAAGAAGGAAGUCAGAAGCAGUUUAAAGGAUCUUAAUUUUACUAAAUGUUUCAGUGAAGAAUUUUAAUUAAUCUUCUUACUAAUAUCUUCACUUUGGUAAAGCAGUUUAAAAACAGCUAUCGCUUAUUUAGCAAUUUGGAUGCAGUUUCAAAACAGGUGUAUUGUUGCACUGCAACCCUUCAAGAGUUAAAUGAUGUACAUACAUACGAUAUCUUUAAACUUUCAACUUAGAAUUAUUGAUGGAUGUAAAGCCACUCACUCAAAAUCAUCUAACCUUCUUAACCGGUUAAAAGAGUAUAAUCCUCUCAGUUAUUAGGAGACCUUUGAAGUGAAACAGUGAAAUUCAGUCCUUCUGCCUGUUUUGAAAAUUCUCAUUGACUGUAGACUAAAUCACAGGGAAGUUUCGGCUGCAGCACUUUGUCUGCAGAGUGAGCUGUGGAUUACUUAGUUGAACUUUGCUCCAGUCAGGACUUUGUAGUGCUUAUAAAUCUUGAAUCCAUCUAAGUUCACCUUAAAUUAGCCUUGCAAAAACAAUCUCCAAACUUCAGCUGUCUGCUUGGUGGCUUCUGGCUAGGUGCCAUGCAGAAGCUGAGACACUGAUUAAUUGUCUUCAUUUCUUAAAAAUUCCUCACAUUUUAUUAAAAAUAAAAUAUCAUGGAAUAUACACUUUUGCUUUUCACUUCAUAAAACAACGGUGUUGGUUGGUUCUGUGCAGACCAUUGGCAGAUACAUUGCAUAUUAGAAAUUAAAUGGAAGAGAAACUUGAAAGCUUUACAAGUCCUGAAAGCUUUAUUGCACAAUAAUGCCACUGCUGCAUGAACAGCCUGGGACAGUGCCAAACAAGCAUGCCAAGAUACAACAGAUUUUUCAAUUUUCCAGCAAAUAGAAACAAAUUCUGGUUUCAGAAGGUGUACUCAACAAACACUUCUCAAUGUGUUUCUGAUUUGUGGUAAGAAUGUUUUUACUGCUGGUGCCCUGUACUUUUGAGACAUUUAUUUCCUAAAAGAAAGAUUCCUUUCUAUAAACCUCAACUGUCUGUUUUUCAAAGCAAUUUAAAAUCAAACACACAAAUAAAAUUUUUAACAUAUGGAAACUUUCAUAUAGAGUCUUACGUAUUCCAAGUUAAAAUUGUUUUAUAAACUGUAAUGCUUUGCAGACAAAAACACCGAGAAGAUGACUGUUUUUAGCAGUAAUGCUUUCUGACAGCGUUAAACCUUGUUUUAGGAAUUGACAUCAAAAUGUUUGGUGGUUUUAAAAUGGACCAUUAAUAAAAAUGGCAUGUUUUAAGUUUUAAAAAUUUUACUUAAUACUGUGAAGUUGUAUAGAAUUACAAAUUUGAUAUAGUAUUUUUUAAAAGAAAAUAAUCGUUUACGUCUUUAUGCUCAAAACAGUGCAGAUGCAUCUUUAAAGUAUUAUGUUGUCUCUUUGCUGUAAUAUGUAUCCCAGGAUUUGGAGUUUGAGGGUGGUUUUUUUAAUGUUCUUAUUAUGAUUUUUCAUUGCUGUAUCACAUAUAUUUUUAUUUCUUUUUCAAGUCAUUUCUUAUCUUCUCCACUAGCUGACUUUUCUCACCAGCUUUUUCCUCCUUUGUUUAAUACAAAGAGUCCAGCCUGAAGAUUGCUGUACAUGAAGUAGAGAAAUGUAUCAUUUAAACAUGAACAGAUGAUUAGCUUGCAUGCUGAAUACUUUUAAGAUGUGUACACUGAUACCUCUAAAGUAUUUUUGGAAUAGUAAACAUUAAUUUAUUAGGAAUGUUGCAAGCUUAAAAAACUGUUCAUAAGCAGUGGAUUUUAAAACUUUUUUAGUGGCUAAAGAGAUUCUAGAGGACUUAAUUACCCCACUUUAAAGGCAUAAAAUAUUUCAGUGAGAAAUUUUUCUUCCUCAUCUGCUGUAGUUCAUUCGGUUUUGAGACAAGUUUUGAUAUCUCAUUUUUGUAUAGACAAUAUCUGAAAGAAUUAAAAUGUUGAUGCACUGGUGCUGAAUAAAUGUGGGCAUUAGUUUUUUCCAUGAAGGUCCUGUUUACAAAGGAAUGAAGUGGAUGCUUACUUUUAGGCAUGUGUUUAAAUCUCUUUGACUCCUGCGCUGGGAGUCCUGUAUAUGUUUUCAAGUGCUUUAUUACAAUGAGUCAUAAAUUAAUUCACAUCUUCCUAUGGGCUGACUAUGUCUCCAUGGAAAAUUAGUCUGUUUUAGAAGCCAAAGGAAACAAUGAAAACGAACUGAUGACACGACGAGCCCACUUACAUGGAAGAAAUAAGUUGAUUUCAUCCCCAUGCUCAAACUUUAUAAUGGGGAGAGAGUGCACACCCUGUGCAACAGCUUCCUUAAUUACUAAUUUUCUGAAAGAAACAAAAGAUGGCAAAGAACAACAGCAAUCCCCCAGUGUAUGCUGAAUAAAGAGCACUGACUGGCUCUUUCUGGAGGAAUUCCAGUGACAAUUUUUUAUUGCUGCCAGUGUAAUGUUACUUUUCAGUCACUGAUCAUGAGAAAAAACAGAAGCAGAAAUGCAGGAAGCAAAUAUAAGUGCCAAGUGACUGAUCUGCCUCAGUAGGUAAACAGGCAAAAGGAAAGUUUCAAAAGGAAAUCAUUUAGAGCAGAGGCAUGAUCAGAGAGCCACUGAGGCUGUGGUUACACAUUCAGCAGCAGGGCUGCUUAAGCCUACUUAGACUUGGUUCCUGCUGUCCACCUCCCAUUCACUCCUUCCUUCACCCCUGACUUUGUUGUACUGGCACCACUGUUUGUGCAGCUGCAUGGUGAACAGUCUUGGGAACCUGGUCCCAGUGAAAAAUGACCCACCAGAAAUGGAUCAGUUCCCUUUCUGAUUUACUUCAGAGCCCCACAACUGGCUGUAUUGGCACAGCAGAGGUUAUGAUGUGGGAAUGAGACUGUGCAGCUGAGGAGAGGAGGAGCUGUUGAAGAAGGUCCUGUCAGCGAUACCGACAGGUCACAUCCCAUGGCUCAGAAGGGGUGUGCAUGGCUGUACCUCCAGCACAGCCAUGUGCCCUCUCUUCCUGAUAGUGCUGUCUUUGCUACAAGGAGUCUUAUUCUUUUUGAGAUUAACACACCUAAAUCAACAUACAGUUGCUUACAGUAUGAAAGCUAGGUUUCUAGGCUGCCAUCAUAAUCUACAGAGAUGUAGAUUUAUUAUUAUUAUUAUUUUAUUUUCAGUGGGAUAAAUAUAGGCAACUAGUGCUAUCUGAAACUGCCUGUCCUCCAUCAUCUGGCUGCAGAAGGACAUAGAUCCACCAUGUCACAUAUGCCAGCCCUCUGUGGAUGUCUCAGAUACCCCAAGGACCCUCAAAUGGCACUAGACAACUGUUUAUGAAACUGAGUCAAUCCCUUAAGGUGUCCUCAAUAUGUAUAAACAGAACAAUUUAAUGUAGAUGCCUACAGGUGGAAAUUCCCAUAAAUUUCCAGAUAUAUUCCAUUGGCUAAAUACAGAGAUCAACUGCUUUUAGAGAUAUUUUGAGAUGUCCUUACAGGGCUGGCAAAUACUCUGAACAAAUUAUGCUAUUUUGAAGACCUGUGCUAUUUUGAAAAAUUCGUUUGAGACGGGAUGUCCCAGGGCAUCUCAGAUGGCACAGAGCAAGAGGUGAGUCAACUGGACUGCACUCUAUUUGUCUCUUGCAUUUGGUUGCUAAUAUAUUGGGAUCAUUCCUCCUCCAAAUACUGCCAUCUCCUAUUGACAUCUCCCUAUUUAUUUAUGCUUAAUACAGAUAAUCAGCCAUAUCAGUCAUUGCAUGAGUUAACUCAUGGGAUGUGACUAGAUGGCUUCUUUCUUUACCAGCAGUGCAUGCCUCUUAAUAACUUUCCUUAGUAUUUUGUGAGUUUAAUCCAAAGAAUACUGAAAAACUCCCCUCAGACUUGCUGAACUUUAAGGCAUGAGAAAGCAAAUGGGUAUAAUAUCUUUCACAGGGUUCAUUAAAUUAAGUUGAUCUUCAUUUCUUUGUAAUCUGGAAGAGCCCUAAGAGAAGAAAGCAAUGUAUCUCAAGAAGCUGUUACAUUUGUCUGCUAGUAAAAAUAGAAUACUUUUACUGUUACAUAAACACAGAGUAGCUUCAUCACCUAUAAGACAGUUUAGUCACCUUUUCAUUACCUUUAACAAAGAGUUUCAUAAUUGUAAUCUCCUUGUAAUGAGACUGCUGUUACCAAAAGCAACAGCAGAAAACAGUAAGAAUGUCACAAACCAUUGACAUAUGCCUUUCUGAGGACCCACAAGAAAACCAACUAUACUGACCAUUUUUGAAAAAAAGGCAUGGGAACGCUUCCUAUAGGUAUUUAACCUAGGUGUCUCAAAUGUGUUUGUCUGUAAAAGUAACUGUAAACCGGACUGUAAAUGGAGACAGCAUUUUCAAUCACUGGAUAACAUAUAUUCUGAAGCUUAAUUUGUUUGUCUGAAGCCACAAACCAUAGUCAUCAAAAAAACUAAAUUAAUUAUCCAUAGCACACAAGCAAAGCAUAGUCACAACAUGCUUAGAUUAUGUCUCACUUAGUUUUCACUCCUCAUCCCUCCCAUUUAUCCUGAAUAUAGGAUUCAUUGAAAGAUCCUAAUUUUGUCUUUUUAUCUCAGGAAAUAUUUUUUCCACUACCACCAGUACACAUGGAGGAAACAAUAUACAGCAGGAAAAAAAAAAAAAAAAAAGUAUAAUAUAAGCUGACAAAAAUCAGAUACGGGAAAUCAAGGCAGAAGAAGAUAUUUUCUGCUGCAAUUCAACCUGCUUUUAAUGAGGGUCUUCUGGAAUAGCUCAUUUGAAGAUCAGCAUGGACAAGGCCACUGCAGCUUUCAACUCCUUGCAGGGUGUUCAGAAGCACAUUGUAUCUUUUCAACCUUUAGUAACAAAAUUCAAGUGAUCUAAAACUCAUUAGUUUAAUUCUGCAUUUAAAUGUAAUUGUAAUUUUAUUUUAUUUGUUUUUAUCUUUUCUAAAGCACUCUAAGAGGUCCUAAAGAAAGGUGUUACACAAUUGUAAGUGCUGAAGUGAUUGACAGAGUAUUUUACAACUGGCACUUAUUAUUCCUUUUAUUAAGAAUAAAGUGGCUUUUAGUCUAAAAACAAUAGGGUGAAAAGGGGUCUUUUAUGCACUCAUUAUAAGUAGAAAAUUGUAAGGAAAAAGUUGUAAUAAAAACUAAAUGAUUUUGGCAUGA